AGAGUUUGAUCCUGGCUCAGGAUGAACGUUGGCAGUGUGCCUAAGACAUGCAAGUCGAACGAAGCGCUAGUGCGGAACUCUUCGGAGGGAAGGAUUAGUGACUGAGUGGCGAACGGGUGAGUAACACGUGGAUGACCUACCCUGAAGUGGGGGAUAACCUUGGGAAACCAGGACUAAUCCCGCAUGUGCUUGUUGGUUGUGACUAACAAGGAAAGACUUAUCGCUUUAGGAUGGGUCCGCGGGCCAUCAGCUAGUUGGUGAGGUAAAGGCUCACCAAGGCAACGACGGCUAGCCGGCCUGAGAGGGUGAACGGCCACAGGGGUACUGAGACACGGACCCCACUCCUACGGGAGGCAGCAGUUAGGAAUCUUCCACAAUGGGCGAAAGCCUGAUGGAGCGACACUGCGUGAGGGAAGAAGGCUUUCGGGUUGUAAACCUCUAAAAGUAGGACGAUAAUGACGGUACUACUUGAGAAGCACCGGCUAACUCCGUGCCAGCAGCCGCGGUAAUACGGAGGGUGCAAACGUUAUCCGGAAUCACUGGGCGUAAAGGGCACGCAGGCGGUUAGUUAAGUCCGAUGUUAAAGCGUGGGGCUCAACCCCAUACGGGCGUUGGAUACUGGCUAACUAGACUCUUGGAGAGGUAAGUAGAAUUACCAGUGUAGCGGUGGAAUGCGUA
rnacentral:rRNA from 1 species